GAAUAGCAAGGAUUUUGGUUGUCGCUGACCCUUUCGAGGGUAUGUGCACGCCUGGUCCAAACUUUUCAUUCUUUACCACCUGUGCACUUUUUGUGGAUUGUGGAAGAACAGAGAUCUCUUCGAAGUAACAUUCGGUUUUGAGACUUGCGCCUAACACGCGCUUGACUCUACUCUCUUUUUCGUCCGCGGUUCAUGUCUUUUCUACACACUACAAAUAUAAACCUAGAAUGCUUCAAAGUUGGGACUUUAGUGACCCUUCUUAAACUUUAUACAACUUUCAACAACGGAUCUCUUGGCUCU
rnacentral:misc_RNA from 1 species